CAUGGAUCAGUAAUGAGACAUGUGCUUUUAUUAGACUAAAAACCUCUUAUCAUAUCUUCACGGAUAUGUAUAAAUUUUUAGAUGACUCUGGAUAAUUUGGGCUGAUCGUAUGGUCUUUGUACCGACGAUAGAUCAUUGAAAUAACUGCCCUAUCAACUAUUGAUGGUAGUAUAAAGGACUACCAUGGUUGCAACGGGUAACGGGGAAUCAGGGUUCGAUUCCGGAGAGGGAGCCUGAGAAACGGCUACCACAUCUAAGGAAGGCAGCAGGCGCGUAAAUUACCCAAUCCCAGUACGGGGAGGUAGUGACGAAAAAUAACAAUACAGGACUCACAUCCGAGGCCCUGUAAUUGGAAUGAGUACACUUUAAAUACUUUCACAAGUAACAAUUGGAGGGCAAGUCUGGUGCCAGCAGCCGCGGUAAUUCCAGCUCCAAUAGCGUAUAUUAAAGUUGUUGCGGUUAAAACGUUCGUAGUUGAAUUUGUGUCCCAUACGGGUAACAUACCUAAGUACGGGUUUGUUUUACUUGUCAUUACAUUAUAUUCAUAUAUAUAUUUAUAUGUAUAUGGUAUAGUGUAUGGCUUUAGUAUGUUGGACGUUUUAUCGGUGAGUGUUUUAAUAUUUAAUAUUUUCUAUUCAGAUUAUAUUUAAUAUUAUCACUCAUUUACUCAUUUUAGUGCUCUUAAUCGAGUGCUAUUGUGGGCCGAUACAAUUACUUUGAACAAAUUAGAGUGCUUAAAGCAGGCUAUAUUUAAUGAAAAUUAAAAUGCCUGAAUAUAUUUUGCAUGGAAUAAUGGAAUAGGACUUCUGUUCUACUUUCUAUUGGUUUUUAGAUCAAGAGGUAAUGAUUAAUAGAAGCAGUUGGGGGCAUUAGUAUUACGAGGCGAGAGGUGAAAUUCGUAGACCCUCGUAAGACUGACUUAAGCGAAAGCAUUUGCCAAGGAUGUUUUCAUUAAUCAAGAACGAAAGUUAGAGGAUCGAAGGCGAUCAGAUACCGCCCUAGUUCUAACCAUAAACGAUGCCAGCUAGCAAUUGUAUGUAGCUAAUUUUUUAGGCUCAUACAGUCGCUUUCCGGGAAACCAAAGCUUUUGGGCUCCGGGGGAAGUAUGGUUGCAAAGCUGAAACUUAAAGGAAUUGACGGAAGGGCACCACCAGGAGUGGAGCCUGCGGCUUAAUUUGACUCAACACGGGAAAACUUACCAGGUCCGAACAUAAAUGAGUAAGACAGAUUGAUAGCUCUUUCUCGAAUCUAUGGGUGGUGGUGCAUGGCCGUUCUUAGUUCGUGGAGUGAUUUGUCUGGUUAAUUCCGAUAACGAACGAGACUCAAACUUUUUUAAAUAGAUGCCUGCAGGACUAUGGUGUUGAUAUUUAUUAUAAUCGCAUUAUAUUUUACAUGUAUGCUUUUCUCUUAUAAUUUUAUAUAUAUUGCAAGAUGUGUAUGGGUUAUUUGGGAUUUGUAUAUGUGUAUUUAUAUUUUGUGUUAUUUAUAGUAAAUGGAGCUAUACCUGUUUGGUUUGUCUUAAAAGGGCACUUUGCUUCUUAAAUGGACAAAAUGCGUCUAGCAUUAAUGAGAUUGAGCAAUAACAGGUCUGUGAUGCCCUUAGAUGUCCUGGGCUGCACGCGCGCUACAAUGAAGGUAUCAAUGUGUUUUAUCCUUGACUGAAAAGUUUGGGUAAACAUAGAACCACCUUCUUGGUUGGGAUUGUGGACUGUAACUGUUCACAUAAACCCGGAAUUCCCAGUAAGUGCGAGUCAUAAGCUGCAUUG
rnacentral:rRNA from 1 species